rnacentral:rRNA from 1 species
GACAGAGGGUGCAAACGUUGUUCGGAAUUACUGGGCGUAAAGCGCGUGUAGGCGGCAAGGCAAGUCGGAUGUGAAAGCCCACGGCUCAACCGUGGAACUGCUCGGUAUACUGCUCGUCUUGAGCCAACUAGGGGCGACCGGAACAAACGGUGGAGCGGUGAAAUGCGUAGAUAUCGUUUGGAACGCCGAUGGUGAAAACAGGUCGCUGGGGUUGUGCUGACGCUGAGACACGAAAGCCAGGGGAGCGAACGGG